GAUGAACGCUGGCGGCGUGCCUAAUACAUGCAAGUCGAGCGAACAGACGAGGAGCUUGCUCCUCUGACGUUAGCGGCGGACGGGUGAGUAACACGUGGAUAACCUACCUAUAAGACUGGGAUAACUUCGGGAAACCGGAGCUAAUACCGGAUAAUAUAUUGAACCGCAUGGUUCAAUAGUGAAAGACGGUUUUGCUGUCACUUAUAGAUGGAUCCGCGCCGCAUUAGCUAGUUGGUAAGGUAACGGCUUACCAAGGCGACGAUGCGUAGCCGACCUGAGAGGGGGGUGGGCCACCUGGGAAUUGGACACGGGGCCAACCCCCAAGGGGGGGCAGAAGGGGGAAACCUGCCGCAAGGGGGAAAAGCCUACCGGAGCAACCCCGGGGGGGGGAUGAAGGCCUUGGGAUCGAAAACCCUUUUUUUUAGGGAAAAAAAAAUGGUAAAGAAACUAUGCCCUUCUGGACGGUACCAAAUCAAAAAGCCACGGCUAACUACGG
rnacentral:rRNA from 1 species